rnacentral:pre_miRNA from 1 species
GGAUCUUUCGAACGUAGACAGAGAGCUGAAAGCGUGAGUGAUCAGUCGGAGUAAGUCAUUUUUAAAUUUUUUAAAUUUUAACUUUAAAAAUUUAAAUUUAAAUUUAAAUUUUUAAAGUUAAAAUUUAAAAAAUUUAAAAAUGACUUACUCCGACUGAUCACUCACGCUUUCAGCUCUCUGUCUACGUUCGAAAGAUCC